rnacentral:lncRNA from 1 species
GACGGCUUCCCGGAGGGACGCGGGCUGCAGGAUGUGCGCGUGUGACACAUUUGUCAGACUCCAGGGCCUUCAAGCUGUGAUUAAUCUGAUGGUUCGUGAAACAACUGGGAAAACAGAUGUUUUGUGUGCCAUUUGAAGAGUGUGUGUCUAUGUAUAUUUAAAACUUUCUUUCUAUACAUACACAUUUACACGAGAAGACAGGCUCAUUCUUGUGCUCU